UAUGAGUUUGAAUCGACAUAAGGGUGAGUAAACGAUGAGAGAAUUAUCAUUUUUGGAUAAACUAUUCCUAUUCUGAGUAAUAGGCCUAUUACCUCUGUAGAAUAUUAGCACCAAGUAUUUGCAGAUACUAUCAGUCAUUUUAAAUUGUUUUCUUUACCAAUAGAUGUGUGCCACUCCUGCUGACCUUGAGAAGCCGGGUAACCUGCCUGUGACUCCUCGUUUGAUCGUGCUUGGUCCAGGUGAUAUUCCGGGGCAGUGGAUGAAACGAUGGAUGAUCAGUCUGGAAGGCAGAAUAAUCUGCGAGGGUGUGCAGAAAACGUUUCUCAUUGGACUUGCUGCAUUGUUUUCUUUGCAUUGCAUCUUUAAUUAACAGUGCCAAGAGGAAGCAACAUCCACACUGGAAUUCCUUCAAAGACGCUUUAUCGGAAUAAAUCCGGAAAAGGGGACCAAGGCUGCACGGGGAAAAGUGGUGUCUUAAAAAACUGGAAGAACUGUGCAGGAGACUGUAACCGUCAGUCCAAAGUAUCAAAUCUUUUGAAAGACUGAUGCAUGUUGAGUGGAACUGCAUUUAAAAUGUAGCUGACACUCCCCACCCAUGCAGUUUGUUUUUCACAUAACAUGGUGGGCUGGUGUGUUGCUGAAGCCUGAUUUUAUUUUUUAUACUGAUUUGUAUUUUAUAAACCAUUUGUUUUUAUAUUUAAAAAAUGGACCAGUGUUUGUUAGAGCUUGAUUUGAGAGUUUACUUGUAUUCAAGUAAUUUGCUUCUUUUGGUAAAAACAGUUUUU